AUUUAUAAACAACCAUUUGGUUGCGCCUCGGUUUAUUUACAAUUUCUAAACAAACAAAUUUGAUUGUGCAAUACCAUGAUCAGCUGUUUUCCCAAGGAAAAAUAUUAAAUUAUUUAGGAAAAGAUGUAAAAACUUUGAAAAAAAAAAUUUUAUUUUUUCAGUUUUCAAGAACGCCCGGUAAUUGUACAACAACAAUAUGAAUGAAAGUAAUGGUUGGCUCCUUGGUGGUAGCGGAUACUCUUUGGAACCAUGGUUAAUGACGUCGUAUAAAAAUGCAGUUGACCCAACUAAAAGGAAAUAUAACGAUAUUCAUUCUCAGGCCAGAAGCAUGGUGAACAGAUGUGUCGAUUUAUGUAAAGGUGUGCUAUACUAUUAUAUAUAAUCUACACACAUUUUCAUGAAAGAUCGGAAGAGCAGGUACAAUGCGCUAAAAUGGGUAAAUUCGCAACCGUUGGCGCGGCGCUCUACAACUUCAUAUAGCUAUUGCCACAUUGACACUUAUACCGUUUGCGUACUUUUCCAUUAUUUUUAUGCCCCUUUUUCGAGUGAUACUUAAUUCCAGCACGACUCAUGUAACGUUUCUCUCAUCCCGGAACCGGGCAAGCAAAUGGUUUCUCAUUUCUGAAUGCCCCAUUUCCACUGGAUUUCGAGUAUCCGCAAGCAUAGCGCACAAUGACUGUAGAACUAAACAAUUGCAAAUCAAUUUAUUAAAUUUUGAAAAUGGAUGAAAGCAUAGGAUCAAGUCCCCAAAGUUCCUACACAUCUGUCUAUCAGAAGCGAAUGCAAAGGAAACAUAAACUGUAGAAAUGUAGUAUAAGUUCUUCUCAGUUUAAUGAUAGGAAACUGUGCCAACCUGCCCGACUUGAUUUCUAUGAAAACAUAGGUGAAGAAAGUUGCUUAGACGGCCCGAACGAUUGUGAUAUCAAUAAAACAUUCGUAAUUCAAAAAGAUGCCGCUUUACAAAAAAAUGUGAGUCGAUACGAAGAUAAAAUAAUGUCCUUAGCUGAUUCCCGGUGUUAUGUGCAAACGUCAAUAGCCAAUUUUGACAAUUUGACAGCCUCGCAAAAUUUACGUCAUGUCAUGAAUAAUUAUCACAAUCUGCUGAGUCAUGGACGAAUGGAAAUGAAUUUCAUAUCACUGAUACACAGUUAAACGAAUGUUGCAAUAAAGUGGAAGUUAUGAUGAAAGCAGUAAACAAUAUAGACGCACCACAAAGAGCUCGUAGUGACAAUAACAAUAAAACAAUAGUAGAUAUAAUAUUUCAGGACUUUUCUACAACGCUUUUUAACAAUCCUGUAGUAUCACCUGAGAGUAAAUUAAGAAAUUUGGAACGGAGCCCAUUAUUUAUAUUACUGGAGAAACCAAAACGUUACUAUAGCCGUAAGUUCAAAGAAAAGGCGAGAUCACAUUUGGAGGAAAAAUUCGAGGCCGCUAUUGAGGACAAUAUGAGUACAUGUUCAUCUUCAUUGUUCCAAUGCAAAACCAAUAAGCAUCUUCCCAAUGUUUGUAAUCAAUUCGAUAACACUUUAAUUGACGAACACAUCGUAAAUUUGAAUUCCAAAAAGUCAUACGAUUCCAUCUCGGAAAGUAAGUUGCUCUUUAUCGAUUUUUUUUUAACAACUCUAACUUUGUACAUUCUUCUUUGGAAAAACUUCAUAUCUUGAUUACGACGUUAUCGAGAAAGAGGACACGUACAACGUAAAUGAAAUGUCAGUGUAAAAUUGUGAUAAGUAAAAAUUAUCAUUGGGAUGAAGAUGACAAUGACUUUUUUGCUUCCAUAAGCACUCAAGAAAUCUUAGAUCAAAACGUGAAGGUCAAUAAUAACGAAGUACAAGUAUAUCUAAGUUCCCAGUAAAUAAGCAGAUAACACGAGGUACUUUCUUCGCGCUUCUUUCACUACUGUUUGGAAAGGCUUUUCCCAAGGAUAUAGAGCGAAAGCAAUGUAAAUUUUACGUUAAAAAU